GGAUAUGGGCAUUUCUUCUCUCCUAUAAAUACCUGCACCAGUGUUGCCAUUUCUUCUUAAUUCAGUCGCGUUCCCUCAUUAGUAGAGAGAGAGAGGGAGCCGAGAGAGAGAGAGAGAGAGAGAGAGAGAGAGAGAGAGCAGGGGAGAGAGAGAGGGAGAGAGAGAGAGAGGAGAGGGAGGGAGAGAGAGAGAGAGAGAGAGA
rnacentral:lncRNA from 1 species